UUGCGUGCCGAAGCUGUCGUCAGAGCCCGCUACCCACGGGUGUUGCGCCAGAUUCGAAAAUCUUGCUUUUUUCACUCAUUUUAGUAGGUAAUUAUUCUUAUUUCGCAAUAUUUAUUUCUGAAAUAGUAUGAGUUCGCAUCCUGUUUUUGUACUGUACUGUACAUAUUGUCGUUUUCAUUCUUUCCUAAUAGUUGGAGGUUGCCUAAAUGUUUAUUACAACCUGAAAUGGAAUGUCGUUUAUCGUUUUCUUAUCGUUUUAACUAUCGCUGUGCCGAGCGAACAGUUGUGGCAAAGACUGGCUCUACAUGCAGUUUGUCACACGAUCGGCUAUACGACUGACACAACGAACGGGACUACGCGGGACUUUGAUGACUGUGCACUGCGCCCCUUUGAUGUGGAAUGGAUUCCAACAAGGCACCGUGAUAUGCUUCAGGAUGAGCGUCGAUUUCUCCAUGUCGCCUAUGCAACUGAUAUGAAAAGGUUAGGAAGGGCGAACUGUGAAGAUACUCGGUGAUUGUUUAAAUUGCUCAACUUGUACACCGCGUGAUGCUCGUAUGAAUUGGACUGUCAGAAUCAUCACGAUAGACAAAUGUGCUGAACCAGUGCUCGGCAAUAACCCGAUAUCCCAAAGUUCUGCAAGCACCUCGCUCACAGCGGAGAUUUUAUCUGACCGAAAAAGAAAAGCGGUGAAGGAGCAGCUCAGGCGGGAUUCAGCAAAGUAGAAACGUGAGGAAGAAAAAAAGAUUUGCUUACGGAACGGCCGGGAUCGUCAAAUCCGACUAAAAUCCGACUCACCCUCUUUCUGAUCUUUGCUCGUGUAACUCUUACGUAGAAGUCGAGUACAUUCUUUUGCGCUAAACGUUUAAUCUGUUGUUGAAGAACUAUGUUAAUAAUAAGCGUGACGAUCUUUUCGAUUUAAAAUUUGGGAAGAAGCGGCCUGAAAAGAUGUCUGAACAACCGGCGAAACUGGCAAAACUGAAGCAAAAUAAAUUAAAAAGAA